UCCGAGUUGACCCCGGCAGUCUCCUAUGAGUCCCCACCAUCACGUGCUGGCAACAUAGGACGAGGGUUGCGCUCGUUGCGGGACUUAACCCAACAUCUCACGACACGAGCUGACGACAACCAUGCACCACCUGUGCACGGCCCUUACGGACCCCCCAUCUCUGGGAGAUUUCCGUGCAUGUCAAGCCUAGGUAAGGUUCUUCGCGUUGCAUCGAAUUAAGCAACAUGCUCCGCCGCUUGUGCGGGCCCCCGUCAAUUCCUUUGAGUUUCAACCUUGCGGCCGUAGUCCCCAGGCGGUUCACUUAAUGCGUUAGCUGCGCCACCAAAGUUCUAUGAGCCCUGACAGCUAGUUAUCAUCGUUUACGGCGUGGACUAC
rnacentral:misc_RNA from 1 species